rnacentral:rRNA from 1 species
GCCAUGCCGCGUGUGUGAAGAAGGCCUUCGGGUUGUAAAGCACUUUCAGCGGGGAGGAAGGCGAUNAGGUUAAUAACCUUGUCGAUUGACGUUACCCGCAGAAGAAGCACCGGCUAACUCCNUGCCAGCAGCCGCGGUAAU